AUUGAACGCUGGCGGCAUGCCUUACACAUGCAAGUCGAACGCGAAAGCGGGGCAACCCGCAAGUAGAGUGGCGAACGGGUGAGUAAUACAUCGGAACGUGUCCAGUAGCGGGGGAUAACCUCUCGAAAGAGAGGCUAAUACCGCAUACGACCUACGGGUGAAAGAGGGGGAGUCGCAAGACCUCUCACUAUUGGAGCGGCCGAUGUCGGAUUAGCUAGUUGGCGGGGUAAAAGCCCACCAAGGCUACGAUCCGUAGCUGGUCUGAGAGGACGACCAGCCACACUGGAACUGAGACACGGUCCAGACUCCUACGGGAGGCAGCAGUGGGGAAUUUGGACAAUGGGCGAAAGCCUGAUCCAGCCAUGCCGCGUGAGUGAAGAA
rnacentral:rRNA from 1 species